AGCGGCGCACGGGUGAGUAACACGUGGGUAACCUACCUGAGGGUCUGGGAUAACCCCGGGAAACUGGGGCUAAUACCGGGCGAGACCACAGUGUCCUCGGACACAGCGGUCAAAGAUGGCCUCUCCUUGGAAGCUAUCGCCCUCAGAUGAGCCCACGUCCCAUUAGCUAGUUGGCGGGGUAACGGCCCACCAAGGCGACGAUGGGUAGCUGGUCUGAGAGGAUGAUCAGCCACACUGGAACUGAGACACGGUCCAGACUCCUACGGGAGGCAGCAGUCGGGAAUCUUGGGCAAUGGACGAAAGCCUGACCCAGCAACGCCGCGUGAGGGAUGAAGGCCUUCGGGUCGUAAACCUCUGUCGGGAGGGACGAAAGGUCGCCGGAAUAACAAGCCGGAGGCUUGACGGUACCUCUAAAGGAAGCGCCGGCUAACUCCGUGCCAGCAGCCGCGGUAGUACGGAGGGCGCAAGCGUUGUUCGGAAUUACUGGGCGUAAAGCGCGUGUAGGCGGCCAGGUAAGUCGGGUGUGAAAGCCCGGGGCCCAACCCCGGAACUGCACCCGAUACUGCCCGGCUAGAGUCCCGGAGAGGAUGGCGGAAUUUCCGGUGUAGAGGUGAAAUUCGUAGAUAUCGGAAGGAACACCAGUGGCGAAGGCGGCCAUCUGGACGGUGACUGACGCUGAGACGCGAAAGCGUGGGGAGCA
rnacentral:rRNA from 1 species